GUGUGUGUGGCACAGUGGUUUCUGAGUGUUGGGCUACAACUCUGGAGACCAGGGUUCGAAUCCCUGCUCGGCUG